GCAUCUAGUGGGAGACAUCCGAUAAAACAGGAACGAGACAAAGAAGAUUAGUAUGGUCCUUGCGUAUAGAUAGUACACACAAAUUGAGACAUGGUCCAAAAUUUU
rnacentral:snRNA from 1 species